UGUGUGUACAUGCUGAUUAGAAUCCAGUUCUCCACACACGUCAACACAUCACUAACAGGUAGAUGGGAUGUUCUGGACCAACACAUCACUAACAGGUAGAUGGGAUGUUCUGGACCAACACAUCACUAACAGGUAGAUGGGAUAUUCUGGACCAACACAUCACUAACAGGUAGAUGGGAUAUUCUGGACCAACACAUCACUAACAGGUAGAUGGGAUGUUCUGGACCAACACAUCACUAACAGGUAGAUGGGAUGUUCUGGACCAACACAUCACUAACAGGUAGAUGGGAUGUUCUGGACCAACACAUCACUAACAGGUAGAUGGGAUGUUCUGGACCAACACAUCACUAACAGGUAGAUGGGAUAUUCUGGACCAACACAUCACUAACAGGUAGAUGGGAUAUUCUGGACCAACACAUCACUAACAGGUAGAUGGGAUGUUCU